AGAGUUUGAUCCUGGCUCAGGAUAAACGCUGGCGGCGCACAUAAGACAUGCAAGUCGAACGAACUUAACCAUUAGUUUACUAGUGGAGCGGUUAGUGGCGGACUGGUGAGUAACACGUAAGCAACCUGCCUAUCAGAGGGGAACAACAGUUAGAAAUGACUGCUAAUACCGCAUAUGCCUUGAGUAUCACAUGGUACAAAAGGGAAAGGAGCAAUCCGCUGAUAGAUGGGCUUGCGUCUGAUUAGAUAGUUGGUGAGGUAACGGCCCACCAAGUCGACGAUCAGUAGCCGGACUGAGAGGUUGAACGGCCACAUUGGGACUGAGAUACGGCCCAGACUCCUACGGGAGGCAGCAGUCGGGAAUAUUGCGCAAUGGAGGAAACUCUGACGCAGUGACGCCGCGUGCAGGAAGAAGGUUUUCGGAUUGUAAACUGCUUUAGACAGGGAAGAAACAAGACAGUACCUGUAGAAUAAGCUCCGGCUAACUACGUGCCAGCAGCCGCGGUAAUACGUAGGGAGCAAGCGUUAUCCGGAUUUAUUGGGUGUAAAGGGUGCGUAGACGGGAAAUUAAGUUAGUUGUGAAAUCCCUCGGCUUAACUGAGGAACUGCAACUAAAACUGAUUUUCUUGAGUGCUGGAGAGGAAAGUGGAAUUCCUAGUGUAGCGGUGAAAUGCGUAGAUAUUAGGAGGAACACCAGUGGCGAAGGCGGCUUUCUGGACGAUAACUGACGCUGAGGCGCGAAAGUGUGGGGAGCAAACAGGAUUAGAUACCCUGGUAGUCCACACCGUAAACGAUGGAUACUAGGUGUAGGGUGUGAUAAACAUUCUGUGCCGUCGCAAACGCAGUAAGUAUCCCACCUGGGGAGUACGGCCGCAAGGUUGAAACUCAAAGGAAUUGACGGGGGCCCGCACAAGCAGUGGAGUAUGUGGUUUAAUUCGACGCAACGCGAAGAACCUUACCAGGUCUUGACAUCCAACUAACGAAGCAGAGAUGCAUUAGGUGCCCUUCGGGGAAAGUUGAGACAGGUGGUGCAUGGUUGUCGUCAGCUCGUGUCGUGAGAUGUUGGGUUAAGUCCCGCAACGAGCGCAACCCCUGUUCUUAGUUACCAGCGAGUUAAGUCGGGAACUCUAAGAAGACUGCCGGUGAUAAAUCGGAGGAAGGUGGGGACGACGUCAAAUCAUCAUGCCCUUUAUGUCCUGGGCUACACACGUACUACAAUGGCUGUAACAAAGGGAAGCUAAGCCGCGAGGUGGAGCAAAACCCAAAAAAGCAGUCUCAGUUCGGAUUGAAGGCUGAAAUUCGCCUUCAUGAAGCCGGAAUUGCUAGUAAUGGCAGGUCAGCAUACUGCCGUGAAUACGUUCCCGGGCCUUGUACACACCGCCCGUCACACCAUGAGAGUUGGGAAUACCCGAAGCCUGUGAGCUAACUUUUAGAGGCAGCAGUCGAAGGUAGAAUCAAUGAUUGGGGUGAAGUCGUAACAAGGUAGCCGUAUCGGAAGGUGCGGCUG
rnacentral:rRNA from 1 species